UAUGGGCGUAGCUCAAAUGGUAGAGCAGCGGCCUCCAAAGCCGAAGGUUGCGGGUUCGAUUCCUGCCGCCCGUGU
rnacentral:tRNA from 1 species